UUGUCUUAUAUCUUGUUCGUUUGCUUAUGGGAGAUAGAAGUUAAUUAGAAAAAUAAUUUUUAUAAUAUAGUAAUGUUUAAUGAAAUAAUAAAAGUGACUAUAGUUUACAAGUACUGUAAAGGAAAGUAUAAUUAAUUACUGUUGAUUAAGUUAGUAAGCGUUAACAGUUGUACCUUGUGUAUCAUGGAAAAUCAAUAUAGAUUAAUGAUUCUAAUUAUCUCGAAAUGGAAAUAGCUAGAUUUAUAUGAUUGUUUUUGUAAAAUAAAGAUGUUGAAUAUAGAGCUAGAAGUGAAAUGCUAUUCGAGUUCCAUUAUAUCUAGUUUUUCUAUAAAUAAAUUGAAUUUAAACUUUACGUUUACCAUAUGUAAAGCUAAAUUACAGGAGGGAUAAGCUUCUUGUAUUAGGUAGUAUAAACAGUUGUGUAUAGAUAUGUAAUAUUUGAAUUAGGCUUAAAAAUAGUCAAAUUGAUAAAGUGUUUUAAUUAGAUAUAAAAUCUAAAUAAUAUUUGUUUCUGCUUUUGGUAAGUUAUAGAGAAAGUACUUUAAAUAAAUUAGAUUAAGUUAAAAUGAUUUUAUUAGUAAAAUGUAAUGUUGAUAGAGUAUAUUAGAAUAUUUGAUAAAAUGUAUAAAAUAUAUGGGAGUAUAAAGGAACUCGGCAAAUAAUUUCUUUGCCUGUUUAUCAAAAACAUGUCUGUUUGAAGAUAUAAAGAGUCUGGCCUGCCCACUGAUAAGAUUUAAAGGGCCGCGGUAUUUUGACCGUGCAAAGGUAGCAUAAUAGUUAGGUCUUUAAUUGAGAUCUUGUAUGAAUGGUUUGACAAAAGAAAGCCUGUCUUUGUACUCAUUAGUUGAAUUUAACUUUUAAGUGAAAAGGCUUAAAUUUCUUAGGGGGACGAUAAGACCCUAUAAAACUUUAUAUGGGGCUUUAUUUAGUUAAAUUUUUGAUAAUUGUAUAAAGAUUGAUAAUAAGAGCUUUAUAUUGUGUUGGGGCGACAAAAAUAAAAUUUAUAAUAACUGUUUUUAUUUAUGACAAUUAUGUGUGUUUAUUCUUAUUUUAUGAUCCUAAUUAAAGAUUAUAAGUUUAAGUUACUUUAGGGAUAACAGCGUUAUUUUUUUUGAGAGUUCUUAUCGAAAAAAAAGUUUGCGACCUCGAUGUUGAAUUAAAAUUUCUA
rnacentral:rRNA from 1 species